rnacentral:rRNA from 1 species
GACGAACGCUGGCGGCGUGCUUAACACAUGCAAGUCGAACGGAAAGGCCCUGCUUUUGUGGGGUGCUCGAGUGGCGAACGGGUGAGUAACACGUGAGUAACCUGCCCUUGACUUUGGGAUAACUUCAGGAAACUGGGGCUAAUACCGGAUAGGAGCUCCUGCUGCAUGGUGGGGGUUGGAACGUUUCGGCGGUUGGGGAUGGACUCGCGGCUUAUCAGCUUGUUGGUGGGGUAGUGGCUUACCAAGGCUUUGACGGGUAGCCGGCCUGAGAGGGUGACCGGCCACAUGGGGACUGAGAUACGGCGCAGACUCCUACGGGAGGCAGCAGUGGGGAAUAUUGCACAAUGGGCGGAAGCCUGAGGCAGCAACGCCGCGUUCGGGAUGACGGCCUUCGGGUUGUAAACCGCUUUCGCCUGUGACGAAGCGUGAGUGACGGUAAUGGGUAAAGAAGCACCGGCUAACUACGUG